GGGGGUGUCCGGUUUCGACAGGGGCGAUGCGAAUUUUCUGGGCGUGUCUAGGUUUGUCUCCAGGCCUAGUCAAAAGGAGACUACAGUUUAAAUGCCGACUCACAAGUCGAAUACGCAAUGGCCGCUUAAUUGCUUCCAUAAACGUUGAGGGCGUCGGCGCCCAACAACAAUAAUGCCGGCAAAGAAGUUUCAAGGGGCCUUCUAAAUCUUCCCUUCGCUGACUCGUCGGGGAACAGCGGCAAGAACUUCGGUUCCUGCAAAAUCACCGAGUUUUCACGCAUCUUUACAAAAGAUCGAUAGUCCGUUUGGGGACGAACUCCCAAACUACACACGUAGUCCGUUUAUUCAACUUUCCCUUGGACGCGGGUUCAAUUCCCGCCACCUCCACCA
rnacentral:tmRNA from 1 species